rnacentral:hammerhead_ribozyme from 12 species
AACUAGUCGGGGACUGGAGCCGUUCCCCUUAUGAGCCCAAGAUAGGGCGAAACCAAUC